rnacentral:rRNA from 1 species
AGUGAACGCUGGCGGUAGGCCUAACACAUGCAAGUCGAACGGCAGCACAGUAAGAGCUUGCUCUUACGGGUGGCGAGUGGCGGACGGGUGAGGAAUACAUCGGAAUCUACUUUUUCGUGGGGGAUAACGUAGGGAAACUUACGCUAAUACCGCAUACGACCUACGGGUGAAAGCAGGGGAUCUUCGGACCUUGCGUCCCCCCAUGAGCCGAUGUCGGAUUAGCUAGUUGGCGGGGUAAAGGCCCACCAAGGCGACGAUCCGUAGCUGGUCUGAGAGGAUGAUCAGCCACACUGGAACUGAGACACGGUCCAGACUCCUACGGGAGGCAGCAGUGGGGAAUAUUGGACAAUGGGCGCAAGCCUGAUCCAGCCAUACCGCGUGGGUGAAGAAGGCCUUCGGGUUGUAAAGCCCUUUUGUUGGGAAAGAAAAGCAGCAGGUUAAUACCCCGCUGUUCUGACGGUACCCAAAGAAUAAGCACCGGCUAACUUCGUG